rnacentral:rRNA from 1 species
UGAGAUUUCCCAUUGCAUAAGCAAGUAAGAUCCCUCAAAGACGAUGAGGUAGAUAGGUCCGAGGUGGAAGCACGGUGACGUGUGGAGCUGACGGAUACUAAUCGAUCGAGGACUUAACCAAAA